UAAUACAGAGGCCUCGAGCGUUAGGCGGAAUCACUGGGCUUAAAGCGUGUGUAGGCGGAUUGGUAAGUACCUUGUGAAAUCCCACAGCUUAACUGUGGAACUGCUCGGUAUACUGCUGAUCUUGAGCCACUCAGGGGCUACCGGAACAAAUGGUGGAGCGGUGAAAUGCGUAGAUAUCAUUUGGAACGCCAAUGGUGAAAACAGGUAGCUGGGGGUGUGCUGACGCUGAGACACGAAAGCCAGGGGAGCAAACGGGAUUAGAUACCCCGGUAGUCCUGGCCGUAAACGAUGUCGACUAGAUCGUGGUGCCUCUGACGGUGUCACGGUCGUAGCAAAAGUGCUAAGUCGACCGCCUGGGAAGUACGGUCGCAAGGCUA
rnacentral:rRNA from 1 species